UACGAAGGGGGCUAGCGUUGCUCGGAAUCACUGGGCGUAAAGGGUGCGUAGGCGGGUCUUUAAGUCAGGGGUGAAAUCCUGGAGCUCACCUCCAGAACUGCCUUUGAUACUGAAGAUCUUGAGUUCGGGAGAGGUGAGUGGAACUGCGAGUGUAGAGGUGAAAUUCGUAGAUAUUCGCAAGAACACCAGUGGCGAAGGCGGCUCACUGGCCCGAUACUGACGCUGAGGCACGAAAGCGUGGGGAGCAAACAGG
rnacentral:rRNA from 1 species